CCUACGGGUGGCAGCAGUGGGGAAUAUUGGACAAUGGGGGGAACCCUGAUCCAGCGACGCCGCGUGAGUGAAGAAGUAUUUCGGUAUGUAAAGCUCUAUCAGCAGGGAAGAAAGAAAUGACGGUACCUGACUAAGAAGCCCCGGCUAACUACGUGCCAGCAGCCGCGGUAAUACGUAGGGGGCAAGCGUUAUCCGGAUUUACUGGGUGUAAAGGGAGCGUAGACGGCGAUGCAAGUCUGAAGUGAAAGGCGGGGGCCCAACCCCCGGACUGCUUUGGAAACUGUAUGGCUGGAGUGCAGGGGAGGUAAGUGGAAUUCCUAGUGUAGUGGUGAAAUGCGUAGAUAUUAGGAGGAACACCAGUGGCGAAGGCGGCUUACUGGACUGUAACGGACGUUGAGGCUCGAAAGCGUGGGGAGCAAACAGGAUUAGAUACCCUUGUAGUC
rnacentral:rRNA from 1 species